CUCUGGUCGAUGGAACAAUG
rnacentral:snRNA from 1 species